UAUCUUCCGUGAGUCUUUUAAAUCAAGAUCACAUUAUGACUUUCAUUUACUCUGGGGCAGGCGCAGUAAAUUCUCAGCAAGUAUUUAAUUCAUUCCUUCUACGUUUUGCAGCUUCUUGUACAGGCAGGGCUACAUACCUGGUUCUGGCUGGUGAAAUAUGAGCAAAGGUGACAUGUGACACUUUGGGGCUGAGGCAGUGACAAACCCAAGCGUGGUUCUCUGCGUUCUCUUCCCUUGCUUUGGUGAUCGUGGGAGCAUGAGGCAUCACGGGAUGAAGGCAAGCCUAUUGCUGAGCCACACGUGGAGGACAACUGUCUCCAACACUCACCCAGAUACACAGCUGAGUUCAGCUGGAGACUCUCGGCCGAUGGGCUUGGAAAAGCUGCCUUAGCAACCAGGAUUUUCACGCCUUUGCCCUUAAAAUGCCUUUGAUCGCUGUCCCAAAAGUUCUACUUUCCCAGAUGAGGAGCCAGGAAUCUGGAGAGAGGGUGUGUGAGCAGGCAAAAGGGCCAGAGGGAAAGAGAGAAUCCUAAGGAGGCUGCACACUCAGCAUGGAGCCCAAACACGGGGCUUGAUCCCACAACUCUGGGAUCAUGACCUGAGCCAAAAUCAACAAUCAGAUGCUCAAUCGACUGAGCCACCCAGGCGCCCUUAAUGGCUGUGGUUUAGUCCAUGCCAAAGUGUCCUUUCGUCUGGAGACCAAGCCUUCAUCCUCUGCUAGCAACCUUGCUCCAAGAUUUUUCCACCAGAGAGGUUCCCUGGAUCCUCUACCCUGGACCCCUCCCAGUCUGCUUGAAGUCCAGAAGAAGGCAGAGUAGAGGGAGCAAGCCGCCUCUGAGAUUUAGCACGGCUCUAAAAUUUCACAAGCUCCAACUUUUUCCUUGAAGAUUUGCUCUCUGCUAUGGUCUGAAUGUUUGUGUCCCCCAUCAAUUCAUAUGUUAUAACCCUAAGCCCCAGUGUGAUGAUAUUAAGAGGUGGGGGCCCUUGGGGUGAUUAGGCCAUGAGAGCAUUCCCUCGGGAUGGGGUUAGCGUCUCACAAAAAAGGUCUGAGAGAGCUCCCUCUGCACUUCCAUCACGUGAGGACACCGUGAGAAGGCAAUGGCCAUGAACCGGGAAGGGGGCCCUCACCAGAACACGACCAUGUUGGAGCCUCAAUCUUGGACUUUUGGCCUCCAGAACUGCGAGAAAAAUAAACUUCUGUUGUU